GACGAACGCUGGCGGUGUGCUUAACACAUGCAAGUGGUGCGACGAACCAGAGCUUGCUCUGGGGCAAAGCCGCGAACGGGUGAGUAACACGUGGGUAAUCUACCCCGAUGACCGGGACAACCCGAGGAAACUCGGGCUAAUACCGGAUGUGGUGCGGAGACAUAAGUCUCUUCACUAAAGGUAGCUUCGGCUUCCGCAUUGGGAGGGGCCCGCGGCCCAUUAGCUUGUUGGUGGGGUCAAGGCCUACCAAGGCAACGAUGGGUAGCUGGUCUGAGAGGACGAUCAGCCACACUGGGACUGAGACACGGCCCAGACUCCUACGGGAGGCAGCAGUGGGGAAUCUUGCGCAAUGCGCGAAAGCGUGACGCAGCAACACCGCGUGAGGGAAGAAGGCCUUAGGGUUGUAAAACUCUUUCAGAUGGGACGAAGGUUCUCCGGUGAAUAGCCGAGAGGAUUGACGGUACCGUCAGAAGAAGCUCCGGCUAACUACGUG
rnacentral:rRNA from 1 species